rnacentral:rRNA from 1 species
AAUAACGACCUGCAUGAAACAUAGAACGAUUCGAUAGCUGUCUUGCACACACAUCAUGGUAAAAUAUUCAUCAGUACAAAGAAUAUGCUGGUGAACACUAAAGGACAAAAAGACCCUCUGAAGCUUUAUAGGGAUAAAAUCUAGUACACAUCCCGUUUAUAAGCUGAUGGCCCCAAGAAGCGAGUAAACACAAACUGUUUAAUUGGGGCGAUAAGCUUAUCUAAUCCACCUAAGGUGAACAAAGCCAUCCAAUGAGCCCAACUAAUAAGUGCAAAGAUACAUGUUUCGCUUAAUGGCCCAAGAAGUCCUUCCCAGUAUUUAAAUGCUAUCUUAAUGAGCUUAAAAUUAAUCUACCAACACCAAGCUACUCUACGGAUAACAGGCUUAAUUUCGGCAAUACGAAAGCUCACAUUAUCAAGAAAAAUGCACCUCGAUGUCGGCUUAUCAUCACCAAAA